rnacentral:misc_RNA from 1 species
UCUCCGUAGGUGAACCUGCGGAGGGAUCAUUACCGAGUGAGCGCUCCGGCGCGACCUCCAACCCCAUGUUUUCCGACUCUGUUGCCUCGGGGGCGACCCUGCCGUUUCGACGGCGAGCGCCCCCGGAGGCCUUCAAACACUGCAUCUUUGCGUCGGAGUUUAAGUAAAUUAAACAAAACUUUCAACAACGGAUCUCUUGGUUCUGGCAUCGAUGAAGAACGCAGC